UGAACCUAUCAGUAUCUCUGGAUCAUUGCUCACGAUCUUAGCACCAAAAACUUGCCGGUAGAAGCGUGCGGCAGUGGUGACCUCCGACGGAGCCACCACAAGCAGUGGCGUCAGCUCCAUUGAAUAGAAGCGGAGCUAAAUGUGGAAGAGGAAUGAGACAGAGAGCUGAUUGCAGAAAUGAGAGAGCUGAUUGGGGAGAGAAAUGAGAGAGAGCAGAAUUUCAAAAAUCAAGGCGCGGUUUGGGUUUAUAUAGCAGAAGGGAAGCGGUAGUUUCAAAAAUUACAAGCGUGGGUUUGUUCAUAUAACAGAACAGAAGGGAAGCGCCAGAGUUAGUUAUGCGCACGGAAUCUUCUGGAGUCGGAUUUCAUUUUGGGUUAAUUUUUAAUUCAGGUCCGUCCGAGUUUGUUAUUGAUGAUUGAUUUUGGUUUAAUAUUUAUUUCAGGUCCGAGUUAAUUAUUGAUGAUCAGUGAAUGAAUGGGAAUGCAAGGCACAUGUUGAGUUUGGAGCCGAUGGUUUGCCGAGCCCACGAAUAUUCGAUGAGUAUGAUACAGAAUACUCUUUUAUUGAUGAUGCUGAGUUGGAUGAGUAUUUUAAAGUUGACAAUUCAGCAAUAAAACAUGAUGGAUUCUUUGUUAACAGGGGAAAACUGGAACGCAUCGUUACUGCUAAGACAGCAGCAGCAGCUGCAAAGAUUACACUGACACUAGCGAAGAACUCAUCUGCUCCCAUUAUAACCACCGAACACCGUGAAGAUGUGAAAUUUCAGAACUAGUUGGGUGGACAUUCAUCCAGGAAGAAGUCUACUGAUUCUAAAACAAUUCUGGAUCCUUCGCUUUUGAAAGUUUCUGAGGGAGACGCUGAUGCACUGCAAGCGGAGGUUAAGGCUAUUAAUAAGCAGAACGCAGGAGUCCUGUUGUCGAAGGACCCAAGUAACAGGGGGAGGCACUUGGCAAAAGUACAAAGGGAUUAGCUGAACCUAUUCAAGCACACAGCAACAUUGGUAAUGCUCGAGGCAGGCUUUGAGAAUGUGGUGAGGGAGGCAGUGCAAUGGAAAUAACCUGUUGUUCAGCACCUGGUGCAAGCAAGCAAAUGUCAUUGAACCAAAGCUAAAGGCACCUGGUGCAUUCACAUGGGAUUUUCUACUUAAGUCAAUUAUUCUUGAAUCAAAUAUUGGUUUUCGCAAAAUUUGAUUAGAUGAAUGCACUUCUGUCCAUUUUCAAAUAACAACUUAAUUGACCGAUUAGUCAUAUGCGUGUAAAGUCAGCACUUUUUUUCAUGACAUCCACUGGACACAUAUCAUGCAAGACUGUUUUGUUAGAAAGAAAAACACACUUGAAAAACAAA